rnacentral:lncRNA from 1 species
GUGUUCAUUAAGUUCUAUACAACUUUUCACAUGAGUGAGUCAUGUAACCACCACCAUAGUCAAGAUAAAGAACAAGUUUAAUCCCCAUAAGGAUCCCCUGUACUGCCCUUUUAUAAGAGUACCUACCUCUCUCCCACCUCCUCUUUCCCCCACACCUGUCCCUAACCCCUGAAAACCACUACUCUGUUCUCCAUCUCUAUAAUAGUGUUACUCCAAGAAUGUCACAUUAGAAUCAUGCAGUAUGUGUUUGAUAUGGUUUGGCUGUGUCCCCACCCAAAUCUCAUCUUGAAUUCCCAUGUGAUGUGGGAGGGACCUGGUGGGAGGUAACUGAAUCAUUGGGGCAGGUCUUUUCUGUGCUGUUCUCAUGAUGGUGAGUAAGUCUCACAAGAUCUGACAGUUUUAUGAGAAAGAGUUUCCCUGCACAAGCUCUCUCUUUGCCUGCCACCAUCCAUGUAAGAUGUGACUUGCUCCUCCUUGCCUUCUGCCCUGAUGUGAGGCCUCUCCAGCCACGUGGAAUUCACUGACAAUAUAUAUAGAUUUCAAUGUUGGGCUUGUUUUCUGCCCGGACCAGGAUGUAAGCUCCAUGAAGACAGUCUCAAUUUUGUUCACUACCGCAUCAUCAGUUCCUAGAACAGAGCCUGGCACCUCUGCAGAAUGUUAAAUGGCUCUUCGUGAAUCAACUCCAGGAUUCCCAUUGGUGGUUUGAGGAAUUUUCUUAACACACCAACGACCACACGAUAGUGAUGAUAUUGGCAAUUAUGGCCAUGGUGACUAUGAUCCCAAAAGAAAAGAAGACGAUGCCAAAGGCCGGUGGGUCACGACUUCGUUUUAAGGCUCAUUAUCACGGGAAGGCGUCCUCUUCCUUGGAAAUCUAAAUGCAGAACACCCAGCCAUCUUCAGGAAGCCUGUGUGUGCCAAGUCAGGCAGGGCAAAACCUUAUACCUGCAUGUUUUCCUAAUGUGAGAGACUGCUCUGUAAAUUUCUUUCUAGUGCUCAGUCGAGUUAAUAUGGAAUUUGCAUAAGCACUUGGCAAGAAAUAACGUAUGUCUCUGUAAUAUUUCCGAGGCAGUAUUUUCUCCUCCAAACCCUGACCUCUGUAGGAACGGGACUUAACAUUUGCCUCCCAAAUGCAGAGUAGGGCUGUAUUUAACUUACCCAGUGAAGUCUCCCCUAAGCACUCAGGGGACUCAAACCACAGAAACCAACAUUUGGUCUCUUUGAAUUAAGUCUUUUCAUAUAAUUGAAGCAGCCCAAGAAACCUCCCAGAAAAUGUUUCGGAACACAAAUGUGGAAUGGGGCAUCCAAUUAACAGCAAUAACAUUUUGUUCAAAAAUAACUUUUGCAGACAUAUUGCGAUGUCCAAAACAGAACUGCCCAUUGCUGGCCUCCAAACCACUCUGCUCCUCCCACAAGUGUUCUCCUAUCUUAGUAAAUGGCACCACCAAUCUCCCAGUUGCUAGGGCCUAAACCUUGGAGGCAGAAGUUCCCCCCUCCCCUGGUCUCACUCACUCCAUUACCAAAUCCUGAGAACUGUGUCUCCUAAAGUCUUGAAUGUGUACACUCAUCCCUGCCCUGAAUAACUGCACAACAGCCUCCUCCAGCCCGUUUUUUUUACCCAGCAACCACGGGAAGCUUCUUAAAAAGUAAAUCAGAUCAUGUUGUUCCCUUGCUUAAAACCCUCUAGUCUCAUGUCCCAGGCCUUCCAUCUCACUCACAGUAAAUCCAAAUUUCUGUUCAUGGUCUACACAGCCCCACAUGAUCUGAUCAGGCCCCUGCCUCCCUAUUUAAUUCUUCAACUCAUUCCAGCUUCCCUUCUACACUGCCUCCCGCCCCACAACCGUCACCUCCCUGACCCCACCACUCCACCUGUCUGGAAUAACUUCCCUUCCUUCCUUCACCUGGCCGUUCCCAGUUUAUCCCUCAUGCCAUAAAAGAACAUACUGUUCCCAGCCUAGGAAAGGCUCAGGACCCAUGCCUUCUACCCUCACAGACCCUAUGCUGAGUCCACCUUAACACUGAGCUUUGAAUCCAGAUGUGAGUUCAACUUGCUUUGCAAUUUGCUGUCUCCUCACACUGGUCCUGUUUCUCAACCCUAGCAGCAUGACAGAAUCUUUGAGGAAGCUUUUUUUUUUUUUUUUUUCAUUUAAAUUGAGGUAAAAUUCAUAUAAUAUAAAAUUAACCUUUAAAUGUGUACAAUUUAGUGGCAUUUACUACAUUUGCAAUAUUGUGCAACUAUCACCUCCAUCUAGUUCUAGAACAUUCCCAUCACCCCAAAAGGAAAUCCCAGACGCAUUAAGCAGUCACUCCCCAUUAGCCCUCCCCCAGCCCCGGGCAACCACUAAUCUUUCUGUCUUUAUGGAUUUUGCCUAUUGUGGACAUUUUGUAUAAAUGGAACCAUACACUAUGUGGCCUUUUGUGUCUGGCUUCUUUUGCUGAGCGUAAUGUUUUUGAGGCUCGUUCAUGUUCUACUAUGUAUCAGAAUUUCAUGUCUUUUAUGGCUGAAUACUAUUCAAUUGUAUAAUAAUACCACAUUUUGUUGAUCCAUUCAUCAGUAGACAGAUAUUUGGGUUGUUUCCAAUUUGGGGCUAUUGUGAGCAAUGCUGCUAUGAACACGGAUGUACAUACAAGCUUUUUGGUGGACAUGUGUUUUUAUUUCUCUCGGGUAUACACAUGAAUUGCUGGGUAUCAGGGAAGCUUUGAAAACCACGUUUGCCAGGGCUCUACUCUCCAAGUUUUCAAUGUACUUGGCCUGAGGUAGGAUAAGGCAUUCCUAUCCAUCUAAAAGCUGAGACCAUGGCUGGGCAAACUAAGGCCAGUGGGCCAAGUCCCGCCCACUGCCUGUUUUCAUGUGACCCCUAAACAAAGAACGGUUGAGAAAAAUAAAAACGAAGAAUAUUUUGUGACACAUGAAAAUGAUGUGACAUUUACUUUUUAGUAUUUAAGUUGAGAGGCCAAGGUGGGAGGAUCACUUGAGCCCAAGAAUUCCACACCAGCCUAGGCAACAUAGCAAGAUCUCAUCUCUACAAAAAAUAAAAAGUUAGCCAGGCAUGGUGGUGUGCACCUGUAGCCCCAGCUACUUGGGAGGCUGAGGCAGGAGAAUGACUUGAGCCCCGGAGGUCAAGACUGCAGGGAG